rnacentral:rRNA from 1 species
UACGGAGGGUGCAAGCGUUAUCCGGAUUCACUGGGUUUAAAGGGUGCGUAGGCGGGCAGGUAAGUCCGUGGUGAAAUCUCUGAGCUUAACUCAGAAACUGCCAUGGAUACUAUUUGUCUUGAAUAUUGUGGAGGUAAGCGGAAUAUGUCAUGUAGCGGUGAAAUGCUUAGAUAUGACAUAGAACACCAAUUGCGAAGGCAGCUUACUACACAGUUAUUGACGCUGAGGCACGAAAGCUAGGGUAGCGAACGGG